rnacentral:rRNA from 1 species
UACGUAGGGUGCGAGCGUUAAUCGGAAUUACUGGGCGUAAAGCGUGCGCAGGCGGUUUUGUAAGACAGGUGUGAAAUCCCCGGGCUCAACCUGGGAACUGCAUUGGUGACUGGCAGGCUUUGAGUGUGGCAGAGGGAGGUAGAAUUCCACGUGUAGCAGUGAAAUGCGUAGAGAUGUGGAGGAAUACCGAUGGCGAAGGCAGCCUCCUGGGCCAACACUGACGCUCAUGCACGAAAGCGUGGGGAGCAAACAGG